rnacentral:sRNA from 1 species
UCCGAUCACGAGGUGGGCCCCUUGAGGCGG